UACGGAGGGGGCAAGCGUUAUCCGGAUUCACUGGGUUUAAAGGGUGCGUAGGUGGGCAGGUAAGUCAGUGGUGAAAUCUCCGGGCUUAACCCGGAAACUGCCGUUGAUACUAUUUGUCUUGAAUAUUGUGGAGGUAAGCGGAAUAUGUCAUGUAGCGGUGAAAUGCUUAGAUAUGACAUAGAACACCAAUUGCGAAGGCAGCUUACUACACAACGAUUGACGCUGAGGCACGAAAGCGUGGGGAUCAAACAGG
rnacentral:rRNA from 1 species